GCCUUGGUAGCUCAGCCUGGAAGAGCGUUUCCUUGGUAAGGAAAAGGUCGCGGGUCCAAAUCCCGCUCAAGGCU
rnacentral:tRNA from 1 species